rnacentral:rRNA from 1 species
UACGUAGGGACCGAGCGUUGUCCGGAAUCAUUGGGCGUAAAGAGCGUGUAGGCGGCUAUUUAAGUCCUGCGUGAAAUCCUGCGGCUCAACCGCAGACGGUCGUGGGAAACUGGAUGGCUAGAGUGCGGGAGAGGAGAGUGGAAUUCCCGGUGUAGCGGUGAAAUGCGCAGAUAUCGGGGAAGAACACCUGUGGCGAAGGCGGCCCCCUGGGCCGGCCCGCUGACACUGAGCGCGAAGGCGUGGGGAGCGAACGGG